rnacentral:rRNA from 1 species
AACGAACGCUGGCGGCAUGCCUAACACAUGCAAGUCGAACGAGACCUUCGGGUCUAGUGGCGCACGGGUGCGUAACGCGUGGGAACCUGCCCUUAGGUUCGGAAUAACUCCCCGAAAGGGGUGCUAAUACCGGAUAAUGUCUUCGGACCAAAGAUUUAUCGCCUUUGGAUGGGCCCGCGUUGGAUUAGCUAGUUGGUAGGGUAAAAGCCUACCAAUGCGACGAUCCAUAGCUGGUCUGAGAGGAUGAUCAGCCACACUGGGACUGAGACACGGCCCAGACUCCUACGGGAGGCAGCAGUGGGGAAUAUUGGACAAUGGGCGAAAGCCUGAUCCAGCAAUGCCGCGUGAGUGAUGAAGGCCUUAGGGUUGUAAAGCUCUUUUACCCGGGAUGAUAAUGACAGUACCGGGAGAAUAAGCUCCGGCUAACUCCGUG